CUGGGGGACGCGGACCUCACCUGUAAGAGCAUGAAUCCCAUGUGGCUCUUCCUCUUCCUGCUGUCAGCUCCCAGAUGUGUCCUGUCCCAGGUGCAGCUGCAGGAGUCGGGCCCAGGACUGGUGAAGCCCUCGCAGACCCUCUCCCUCACCUGCACUGUCACUGGUUACUCCAUCACCAGUGGUUACUGCUGGAGCUGGGUCCGCCAGCCACCAGGGAAGGGGCUGGAAUGGAUAGGGUGCGUAAAUAAUGAUGGAAACCUUUACUACACCCCCUCCUUCAAGAGCCGAACGUCCAUCUCCAGAGACACGUCCAAGAACCAGUUCUCCCUGCAGCUGAGCUCCGUGACCACCAAGGACACGGCCGUGUAUUACUGUACAAGAGACACAGUGAGGGGAAGAGACAUUGCCAUUUUAAGGAGGCCAUUGUGGACAUCAUUGGGCAGUGACCAGAGAAACGUUAUUGCAGCCUCAGCAACCAAUAGCCUUGGCUGUGCUGACAAAGGGGCAGUCUUCUGCCAGGAGCUUCUGUUGGAUAAAACACACAAGGACUUUAAUCUCACAGAAAGGAACUUGGUAGAACUGCUUGGUAUUUUGAAUGUCUAG